UCCCACUUCCCAACAAUAAACCCAGCAGCAACAACAGCCGAAAAAAAAAAAAAAAAAAAAAAAAAAAAAAAAAAAAAAAAAAAAAAAAAAAAAGCCAACAGCAACCUUCCCGGCUACAGAUCGAUGGCGUUUGGCUCCCCCGCCAGGACAAGGGGAAAAAUUGCCAUCACCGAGCUACUGGUAAAUCCGCCCCUGGGACAGACCCAGGCCCGCCAGGAGCCAAGGCCGGGCUCUUUUAUUACCGCCCCGGGCCCUCUCCUGCCCCGCGUUCCCGGGGACAGCCCGGCACGGCUGGCUAACGCGGACGGAGGGGAGCAGGGAAGGAAGGAACACAAUUUCUCAGAGCAGCCCCUUUGGGCAGCAGGGCACGAUGGGCAGCCUUCGGUCGCACUUUGCCAGGCGGCUUCGGCAAACAAACGACUGAUCUCGGCGUUUAUAGACUGUAUCGACUUUUAGGGUUCCCAGCUAUUCAAAAAAGAACUCUUCCAGAAACGUAAAUAAACACUGAUGCAGUGCAGGGAGAGGACUGCUGCCAUUUCUGACUUCCCCGUUUAUGGUAAAGUGGAAAACAGAGAUGUGUGAACAGUAGCAGUUCGGCACCAUGUUGAAAUUUAAGUAGUCCAUGGUGAUGUUCAAAAUGUGAGAGUUGAGAGGGAGGGAAUGAAUACAUAAAUCAAUUAACCAAAUGCUUGUUCACUGUAUUGUGACGUGGAGAGAGCAAAAGGUAAGUGCAGAAAAACAGAAACAUGAGAUGUCUGAUACCAGCUCUGAUUGCCUUCAUAAUUAGUUUUAGCGCAGAGAAUAUUUUGCUGUCAGUUUGUAUAAUAAACUAAAACUGGAUCUCAUAAAGCAGGAUGGUCAUAUAUAGGUGUCUUCCUGAUACAAGCUGGAAGUGCUCAGCUUGCUGCAGGGCACUUUGCUGUACCAGCUGGGGCUACCAGGGCCCUUCAUGUGCUUAGUCAGGGAUUGGGUUCUUUGAGCCUGUCCUUAGCUCCAGAUUUUGCCACAGAAGAGAAAGUGUUGCCUUUAAUCCCAGCUCUGAACAUUCUGCUUCAGGCCUGUACUUUCUUUUGGCUGAUCAGCAACCCUCAAUAUCUUUGGAUCACACAGACCCACAGAGACAGAUCCUGGCUUUCAGCUUGUUCACCUUUUGCAUUUCUAGCUUAUAAUAUGAAAGUUGGAAAAAGCCAAAACACAGUGUUGUGAGGUGCUAUAGCAAGAGUUUGUUAGUAUUUAUGUAGCAGCUUGAAACAUGCAAGAAUAAAGUACAGUAGCAAUUACUAUUGAAGUUUUGGGGGAAAAUCUCUCAACUCUCAGAUUUAUACUUGAAAGCAAGCUAUAAAUUUUAUCCAGUAGAAUUUCCUUUUCUCAAAAGAGGCUUUCAUAGCCCAUUAUUAUUUUUGAUAACAUCUCCUCCUACCCAUAGAAGCCAAAAGCACUGUGAAGUGGUCGUUCAUUAUGCACCAUCAGUCUAUUGAGAUGUCAAGUUUAGGGAAAAGGAAUCUGCCUUUUAAUCAGCUCUGCUACAAUACUGGAAGAUAUGCUAUGUGAGAAGAACCCACUCACAUAUUUUAUGAGAAAUCAAGCUGAACAGGCAAUGGUAGAGCAGUCUUUGGCAUCUAAGUGUAUUACAACUAGCUAUCUGCUUUUAAGUUAUCCUACCUUAAUUAAUACAUGCAGUAACCGAAUGAAUAACCAAAACCCACUUUAGCUUUUAAUUCUUCAAGAAUCACAUUGUUUCAUUUUUAGAACAAUGUUCUAAAGCUCAGAAAGGAGUUUUUAAUGACAGCAAAAUCUAGAAAACAUUAAGAAACGUCAACUUUAACUUAAUUACAGUCUACUUUCUUAUUCAGCAUGGAGAUACUUCUGAGUAAUGUGUACACAGGUAUUGAGCACAUAAGUAUUUUUGACUUUGCUAUUCCAAAGAUGUUUAUAAUGAACUGAACAACUUUGCUUGACUAAAUUAACAGCUUUGAUAAGAAUUCUGUAAUUGUUCCCUUUUUGCACAGGCAUUGUUCAAAACGUGUACCAUUCAUCCCACUGGACUCUAUGUUUCUAGCAUACACCUUUUCCAUGAUAGAGCUGUAAGUCCCAAAUAAGCAUUCCAUUAUCAGAGCAAUUUUAAAAACACAAAAUAAUGCAGAACAUCUGUACUCUUCUGAAAAAGGUUCCUGGCCAAUUAGGACAACACAUGAGAAAAAAAGGCUAUCAUAUUCUGUUAAAAUCAAAAUAUGUAAGGCCCUUCUGUUAUUUCUCUAUAAAGCACAUUGCUGUGCGCAAGUGAAAAACAUAACAGUAAUAAUACACAACGCUUUUGGGGGGGCUACGUGAGUGAAGUGUCUUUUAUAUCCGCUAAAAUAUUGAUCAUCCUUACUUAGCCUACUCUUAGGGACUUAGCAAGGGUCAGAGCUUGACUGCUCUUAGCUUGACAGCCUCUAAGGUCACAGCCCAGUUGCUAUAGCUGCUUAUUCUCUGUCUCCGAUUACACACUGCUGCUGCUCAGCAGCCCGAAGGCCUCUCUGCAGCCUCUGUGGCUGCUCCGCAGGAGCGGCUCCACCUGCAGCGCAGUCGUGCGCGGGGCAGCCUGGGCGCCGAAGCCCCUCGGUGUCCCGGGAGCUCAGCCAAGCGGAGCUGGCGGCAUGCAAAGCCCGGGAUUGCCGUGGCACGGUUCGCUGCCGGUGCCGCACGGGGGUGCGCAGCGCACACGAGUCCCCGGGAGCGGAGGGCUCCGCGGCAGCGGCGCAGCGAGAGCCGAGCUCCCUUUGCUGCUGCGAAAUCAGGUGAUUGCAGCAGCCGCCGGAGAGUCAGGCUUGCAAGUGCGCUGUAAAAGCGAGCUGGUUUCCAGUAACGGGGAUGAUUUCAAAGAAGCAUUUAGCAUACUUCUUGUAAGAGGGAUUCGGCCAAGUUCCAGGGCAUGAUUUCCCUUGAGGGAAAGCAGUGUUGUUUGUCAUAGGUGAGGCGCUGCAGAAGAUCAGGUGGAAACUGAGUGGAAGAUGGUGUAGCUGGCAAAUGCUGUAGAGUAAUGCACACCAUCAGAGACCAGGUAAGCCACCUGUAAAUAGGAGCUGAAAGGGUCAAGGUGGGCUGUACACUGUCAUGCCUGGGUGAGGAAGCAUUAGCCAAGGUCAGGUUUUAAAUUCGGUCAGGCAAACCAGCUGGGAAAAGCUGCUGCAAGGCUGACACCAAAUUACCUUCAUUUUGCAAAAAUUCCCCAACCCUAUGACACAUCAGAGAUUGUGCUGGCCAGCUGAAUUCUAAUCAAAUAGCUUGUACUUUCACAUUUUACCUUUAAGAAGAUUGUCCACUGCAGUGAGCCCUUUCAUGCUGGUUUUUGGAAGCUGUGGGAAGUACAGGUCAACACCGACUGACAUUUAAUUUUGAGUUUAGUUAUGAGUUAUUUAUAUUUCACUUACACUAAACUAUCUCAAAAUUCCUGGAAUAUAUUUUUUUUCUUUUAUUAUAUUCAUUGAGGGAAAUGGAUAAAAUAUCAACAGAAAUGAAGCACUGGAAUAAUGAUUUUAGUCAGUGUGUUUCAGCAAAAUUCCUUCUAAUUUAAAAUAAUUUAGAAUAUCAAUUGAAAGUAACAGGCUAUUUUUGUCCUUUAACAUCCCAGACUGAAUGAUAUUAAAGUAGAUCAACUUUUAAAGUAAAAUAACUUAACAAAUUUAAGGCAAAAUCUAGGGCAACUGAAUGUUCCCAUUAGUAAAUCUUUACCACUUUAACCUGAUUAGAUGAUAAUGCAAUGCAGAAUACAAAACAUCCAAUGUAUGUAAUCAGGCUAUGCGAGUCCCUUGGGACUGCAUGUUGUCAGAAAUGAUCAAAAUUCAAAACAGACACACAAAUGAAAGUACAAACAAGGAUACGUAAAACCAAUGAUGAUGAACUUAAAAGAAUCACCAUUGUAAAUGCAGAUAUAGGAAAUUAGUAUUUUUCUCUGGUUCUGUGCCACUCACGAGGACACCCAUACUUCCAAGUGCCUAUGUUAUCAGGAAUACAAAAAUUACUGCAGAGUUUCUGGGUUUGUAUUUAAUGUUAUAAAACGAUAAGCAGAAAGCUGGAAGGCAAAUAUACAUCCAAAAAUUCUGAAACUCCUGAUCACCCAGGGUCUGGCUCUAUGUUAAACUGUCUUUGCAAACAGGUAGGCUUUUCAAACACCAAGACAAUAUCUACUUGCUUUGCAGAGAAAACUUACAUUCUUGCUUUCUAAAGGCAGGAGAAGAUGGAAAUAAGCAUUCAGUGUUUAUUCUAUCACAUGCAUUUUUGAGUCUUUGAUUUUAUUUACACAAGGAAAUUCUCAUGGUUUCUUAGGCUUUCAAAAGAAGGUGGGGCAUUUUCUGGAUGCUAGCAGAUCAAUCUCUAUCAUUCCCCCACUUUGAAAAUAAAAUUAUGGAUGAAAUUUUCCUGGAAGAAAUAGGUUAUUUGAGGACAUGAAAUUCAAAAUGGAUAAAGAGCUAGAUCCACUUAUGCAUUUGGGUGUUGCAAUUCAGUUUUGUAAUAUCCAACUAUGUCUAUUGGAUAGCCACCUACUUACAUAUCUAAAAGAGACGUGAUGCAAAACUGAGCUUUUGGUAGAACCAAGCAGUCAGAAAAACUGGUCACUCGGGAUGAUGAAGCAUCUCAUUCUUCAGGGGCAUAAGGCAUACCCAAACCUUCUUCUGAAAUUGGUCCUCAGUCAUGUUUCAUAACAGCAGACAGCACUACUGUCUUUUGAUCUCUAAGGGAAGCGAAGUGGCUGUUUGUCUUUUCCUUAUUAUCAAAAGAAGCUUGAGGCCUAGGCUCAGACCCUCACCUCCCAGCAGCCAAUCUGAAGACUAUUCCUCAACAACCUCCUGGUUGAGGAAAAAUGUUUAAAAAAAUAAAGUUUAAAAUUUCUGGACGUAGAACGGGAAAAGAGGAAGGAGCAUAGCCGUUCCACAUCGGAGCACGCAGUGCUCUCUGGGGAGAUGGAAGUGCUGGGCUCUGAUUCCUGCUCUGAUGACUGCUUCUACAUUCUAUUUUAAGUAGUGAUUGGGUAAAAUAUUGAAGUAGUCCUUGAAUGGGACAUAUGCAGUGGGAGCAACAGGAACCACUGUGCAGCUCAUGUAUGAAUUCUGCAGAAAUACACCAAAUUACAAGCACUUAUCGGUCUGAAAUGAUACCAUCUUCUAGUAGCUAAAAAAAGAAAUUAGUGAAUAUUACACUACAACAAGUAGAGUUUCUGCUGUCAGGAGCAGAAAGCUGGUAAAUGCUCCACAUUUAUAACUCCCUGUUAACUGUGAGAUUGAGCUGAGGGAUCAGAUACUGUCAAAGCAAUCUUCACAGAUCUCAGCAACAUCCACCAAGGAAGAUAGUCAUCAGAGAGAAAAGCAAGUAUGUUGCUGAGCAAGGAAAACCUGCUUGUUAUUUUUUCUUUUUCAAAUGAAUAUGUUGAAAAGCAAGGCAUACUUCCUGCAGUGUAACCAAGACCUGCAUGCAAGUGGGGCCAAACAAUAUUCAGUUUAAUAACUGUGCCAAAGCCAUUAGUUCUUUUGAAAAGCUUCUUAGUAAAACUGCUAAUAAAAAUGUGGAUUCUUUCUGAAUGUCACUUUAAUAAUAUCAUCAACACGACAGCCAUGAUAUGUUAUGUAUUAAAUCCAUUCCUUUAUUCCUCAUCUAUUUCCUCUACUUCAUUUUUCAAUAUGAAUUGCAGGAUUUAAUCUUGGAAGAGCUUACCUACAUUAUAGAAGCCAACAGAAAGGCACUGAAGAUUUUGCAGAUGUGGAAAUAAUAUUUUGAGCUCUGAGUAUCUGAGAAGUUACAGCAUGGAGAAUAGGUAUUUUAUUAGUUGUUAUGCUAAAACCAUCAGGAAAAUAUCAGUGCUCUUCUGUUAUAAUUAUCUUUAUCUUGUUUCAAAACUAAUGCUUCCUAUAUUAAUACCUUAAAUAUCAGUAUUUCAUGUUCUCACAAUGAUGAAUUAUUUCUGUAUAAGAAAUGUAUAUACCUUACAUGACUUUUGAAUGUAACUGUUGUAAAAAAACUUCCCAUUAUGUAAAAAUAAAUUUUGCGUUAAUUUUUAA